UACGUAGGGUGCAAGCGUUACUCGGAAUUACUGGGCGUAAAGCGUGCGUAGGUGGUUUGUUAAGUCUGCUGUGAAAGCCCCGGGCUCAACCUGGGAAUGGCAGUGGAUACUGGCAAGCUGGAGUGCGGUAGAGGGUAGUGGAAUUCCCGGUGUAGCGGUGAAAUGCGUAGAGAUCGGGAGGAACACCAGUGGCGAAGGCGGCUACCUGGACCAGCACUGACACUGAGGCACGAAAGCGUGGGGAGCAAACAGG
rnacentral:rRNA from 1 species